rnacentral:rRNA from 1 species
AAAGAUCUUCACACUACCUUGGAUGUGCCCAAUCUCAUAUCAUCUUAGAAGCUAAGCAGGGUGGGGCCUGGUUAGGACUUGUAUAGGAGAAAGAUCUUCAGAGAAGACUUGUC